UACGUAGGGUGCGAGCGUUGUCCGGAAUUACUGGGCGUAAAGAGCUCGUAGGGGGUUUGUCGCGUUGUCCGUGAAAACUCACAACUCAAUUGUGGGCGUGCGGGCGAUACGGGCAGACUGGAGUACUGCAGGGGAGACUGGAAUUCCUGGUGUAGCGGUGGAAUGCGCAGAUAUCAGGAGGAACACCGGUGGCGAAGGCGCCACUCUGGGCCGAAACUGACGCUGAGGAGCGAAAGCUAGGGGAGCGAAUGGG
rnacentral:rRNA from 1 species